rnacentral:rRNA from 1 species
AGCCUGAUGCAGCAACGCCGCGUGAACGAUGAAGGUCUUCGGAUCGUAAAGUUCUGUUGCAGGGGAAGAUAAUGACGGUACCCUGUGAGGAAGCCCCGGCUAACUACGUGCCAGCAGCCGCGGUAAUACGUAGGGGGCUAGCGUUAUCCGGAUUUACUGGGCGUAAAGGGUGCGUAGGUGGUCCUUCAAGUCGGUGGUUAAAGGCUACGGCUCAACCGUAGUAAGCCGCCGAAACUGGAGGACUUGAGUGCAGGAGAGGAAAGUGGAAUUCCCAGUGUAGCGGUGAAAUGCGUAGAUAUUGGGAGGAACACCAGUAGCGAAGGCGGCUUUCUGGACUGCAACUGACACUGAGGCACGAAAGCGUGGGUAGCAAACAGGAUUAGAUACCCUGGUAGUCCACGCUGUAAACGAUGAGUACUAGGUGUCGGGGGUUACCCCCUCGGUGCCGCAGCUAACGCAUUAAGUACUCCGCCUGGGGAGUACGCACGCAAGUGUGAAACUCAAAGGAAUUGACGGGGACCCGCACAAGUAGCGGAGCUGUGGUUUAAUUCG